rnacentral:ncRNA from 2 species
UGACCCCGUGCGGGAGAGUCCCGGUGCAGGAAGCCGGGCGCCGAAGGAGCAAAUCCCUUCCCGGAAUCUCUCAGGCACACGGACCGUGCGGUCGAG